UAUGGUCUGUGAGAGACAAAAGAGGGAGAGUGUGUACGAAGAAGAGAACUAGAGCGACAGAGGAAAUGAGUUCGACUACCGAAGGUUAUUAUCAAUCUUAGGGAGCACUUUUAAGUAGCACUUUUUUAGACGUGGAUUAUGAGAUAUUCGUGGAAUAAAAGGUUUGUCUUCCUUCUUUUAUCAUAUUUUUCAGUUUAGUUUUACUUUUUUUAAGCCAAAUUUAUUUUUUAGAUUUUUUUGAUGGAGUUGGGGAGAGUUACAACGCUAUCUAUUUCUGCUUCAUCUAUUACAUUAAGUUUUAAAAAGUUUUAUUUGGAACUACAAAGAGAUCUACUCCAUGAUCACUCUAGUGAAA